rnacentral:rRNA from 1 species
CCUACGGGAGGCAGCAGUGGGGAAUUUUGGACAAUGGGCGCAAGCCUGAUCCAGCAAUGCCGCGUGAGUGAAGAAGGCCUUCGGGUUGUAAAGCUCUUUUGUCAGGGAAGAAACGGCAGUUUCUAAUACAGAUUGCUAAUGACGGUACCUGAAGAAUAAGCACCGGCUAACUACGUGCCAGCAGCCGCGGUAAUACGUAGGGUGCAAGCGUUAAUCGGAAUUACUGGGCGUAAAGCGUGCGCAGGCGGUUUUGUAAGUUUGUCGUGAAAUCCCCGGGCUCAACCUGGGAAUGGCGAUGAAGACUGCAAGGCUAGAAUCUGGCAGAGGGGGGUAGAAUUCCACGUGUAGCAGUGAAAUGCGUAGAGAUGUGGAGGAACACCGAUGGCGAAGGCAGCCCCCUGGGUCAAGAUUGACGCUCAUGCACGAAAGCGUGGGGAGCAAACAGGAUUAGAUACCCUGGUAGUCCACGCCCUAAACGAUGUCUACUAGUUGUCGGGUUUUAAUUAACUUGGUAACGCAGCUAACGCGUGAAGUAGACCGCCUGGGGAGUACGGUCGCAAGNUUAAAACUCAAAUGAAAUUGACGG